UUGUUGGAACGACUUGUAAAGCCCUAUAUGCCUUUAAUACACAAGUAUGCAAGGGAAACAUUUAUGGCUCUAAGAUGAGACUGUACAGCAUCAGAUAGUUGGUGGGGUAAAGGCCUACCAAGUCAAUGACGCUUAACUGGUUUGAGAGGAUGAUCAGUCACACUGGAACUGAGACACGGUCCAGACUCCUACGGGAGGCAGCAGUGGGGAAUAUUGCACAAUGGGGGGAACCCUGAUGCAGCAACGCCGCGUGGAGGAAGACACAUUUCGGUGCGUAAACUCCUUUUAUAUGAGAAGAUAAUGACGGUAUCAUAUGAAUAAGCACCGGCUAACUCCGUGCCAGCAGCCGCGGUAAUACGGGGGGUGCAAGCGUUACUCGGAAUCACUGGGCGUAAAGAGCAUGUAGGCUGUUAGAUAAGUUGGAAGUGAAAUCCUAUGGCUUAACCAUAGAACUGCUUCCAAAACUGUUUAGCUAGAAUAUGGGAGAGGUAGAUGGAAUUUCUGGUGUAGGGGUAAAAUCCGUAGAGAUCAGAAGGAAUACCGAUUGCGAAGGCGAUUUACUGAACAUAACUGACGCUGAGAUGCGAAAGCGUGGGGAGCAAAC
rnacentral:rRNA from 1 species